AAAGUCGUAACAAGGUAACCGUAGGUGAACCUGCGGUUGGAUCAUUAAAAAUACAUCGCCUCUCAUUGUCGACUGGAUAGAUAUUUUGUAUCUCCAGUCGAAAAAACACAAUGAAUGUUGGCACCACAUCUUGUGCACUGUAUCGUCUUUGGUGGUUGGGCGUGAUGCUUCUCUGAAACUCUCGUCUGUCAGCUCGAAUCUAACCGUUCGGGCCGUGGACAAGCCACCGCUUGUUUUUCAAACAUAUUCAACCUUUUAUUUUUACGUCUAACAUCAACUUGUAUGAAUAUACAAACAACUUUUGGCAACGGAUCUCUUGGUUCUC
rnacentral:misc_RNA from 1 species